rnacentral:lncRNA from 1 species
AGCUUUUUUGUUAUAGUAUCAGUAUUGUGUUCCUUAUUAAGAAACAGAAUUGUGUUUCUUAUGAAGAAUGCAGAAGGGUUGCUGCCUACAUUUUGGUAGCCUUCCACUCCCCAUUUAAAACAUCAUGUGAGGGAGGAAAGAGACAGAGGCUUGCUGUCAUGUUGUAGCAGUCCUGCUUAAUGUCUGAUCAUUUAAAACAUCAUGCG